UUACUUUGUCAUAGUGUUUAUGUGUAUAUUGAUUAUGUUUUGUAUUUUUAAUUUGAUAUUGUCCUUGUUUUUUGUGUCAUGUCUUGUAAAACAUUAAAGGGUAGUAAGAUUGAAGAAUCAGACAAGUCGAUACUUGAUGAGAUGGUGUUAACAACUCAGGGUUUACUACAUUGUGUUGAAGUUGAGAAAUCUGCAUCAAAACCUCUUGGUAGGCCUGUCCGUGUGUCUGUGAAGAGUGUUGUGUUGAAGAGUCCUUAUACGUCAAAGUUCGGUUCAGCUGAUUCAACUUC
rnacentral:lncRNA from 1 species